GGGUGUGGAUCCACCUGCCAACACCCAUGUCCAGUGGAGAAGCAAUGGCAGAAGCCAGAAGUUCCACCUUCUGCUCCCCAUAAAGAAUUCUGGUCCAGGCUCCCAGAGGGGAUUCUGUUGAUUUAGUCCUUUGUGGAAGAACUGAACUCACCUGAAAUCUAUCUGCUGAAGAAACAGCACCUGCAUAGACCAGCCUGGGUAUGGGAUGAGGUGAGGAAGACCCCCACCUGGAAACAUUUCAGGAGGAAACGUUCACUUUGAGGGGACCUCUGAGGAAAUAAAUGUGUGAUGGUAAAUGUCA